AUUGAACGCUGGCGGCAGGCCUAACACAUGCAAGUCGAACGAGAGUCGGACGGGUGUGAAUUGUCUGUGGAACUGCCCGAUGUAGGGGGAUAACUACUGGAAACGGUAGCUAAUACAGCAUACCAUCGGAUGUGCCCAGAUGGGAUUAGCUAGUAGGUGGGGUAACGGCUCACCUAGGCGACGAUCCCUAGCUGGUCUGAGAGGAUGACCAGCCACACUGGAACUGAGACACGGUCCAGACUCCUACGGGAGGCAGCAGUGGGGAAUAUUGCACAAUGGGCGCAAGCCUGAUGCAGCCAUGCCGCGUGUAUGAAGAAGGCCUUCGGGUUGUAAAGUACUUUCAGCGAGGAGGCGUUACUCGCAGAAGAAGCAUCGGCUAACUCCGUGCCAGCAGCCGCGGUAAUUC
rnacentral:rRNA from 1 species